UUGCGCGUUGCAACCGGGACUGGCCAAUCCCUUGCAGGGACGGCGGGACGGGCAAGAAGCCAGUGCCGAAGAAGGGAGGAGCCGAGCUGCGUGCAAGCCGCGAGCCCACGGCGGCGGGAGCGGCCCCUCGGCUGCAAGCUUGGAAAAGCGGCGCUCAGCCUUUCCCUUUCCCUCCCCGCCCCCAGGCACCGUAGCGGCCCCUCUGAGAUGGGCCGGGGCGCGCUGGAGGGAAGAGGGUGGUGGUGCAGCCCCGUCCCCACGCGGAUUUCCAAGCCCUACCUGCGAGCGCUUCUCGGCUAAGGGCGAGCAGGAGGAGCAGGGCGCUUCCCGCACCCCAGCCCGGGGCCAUGCCGCCGCCGCCGCCUCCUCCCGGGAAGGAGAGCGGGCAGCGGACGCGCGGCCCCGGGGAGCGCAGCCUGCUCGCGGCGCCAGGAAGGGAGCUCCGCCCGCCGCCGACAGCUGCGCUGGUGCUGGCGUGCUUGCUCAGAUACGAUGUUAUAGGACUGUAACACAGCAAUAAGAUCAGAAAGAAGGCAUCGGAAAUGUGAAUGACACCUUGCUUACAAUGCAGGGACUGCAAUGUAAUGACACAGGCAGUACGGAAGGACACUUAUACGUUGUGACACUGGUAGCAUACAAUCUGGAAAGCGCCCUGGAACCCUUCGCCAAUAUACAUACUCAUAUUUGAACAUGGAUGGACUUGAGAGUGUCUCUACUGACAAAGAUUCACUCUGGUAGUCAUAUAGACCAGGAAGCAGCAGAACAUGAAUUUAUCUGAAAGUCAUUGUAUUAGACAAGUAUUAAAUAGAGUCUAUGGUUUCCUGUCACACUAUAAGGAUUAAAUUUGAUGCAUUUUAACUCGCAUCCUUUUAAGAAUUUUAGGAUAUUUCCAUGCUCGGAUUUCAGCUGCCUGUUUUCUUGUGUUUCUCCAGUAACAACAUCUGAUGAAGUGGGUUGUCACGGAAGUUUAUGUAAAAUUAAAGCAUUUUAUAAUCCUUUU